rnacentral:tRNA from 1 species
GCGAGAGUGGCGGAAUCCGGCAGACGCGCCGGCCUUAGAAGCCGGUGGGGAAACCCGUGCGGGUUCGAGUCCCGCCUCUCGCA